rnacentral:tRNA from 1 species
GGACGUGACUCAGUGGUAGAGUACUCGCCUAGCAUGUGUGAGGCACUGGGUUCAAUCCUCAGCACCA